CACCCUAAGCACACAAGAAAAGAGUGUUAAGAUUUGCUGGAAAUGGGACUUACAGCAGAACAGGGCUUUAUCAGAACUCGGGAGACCCUCCCAAUGGAAGCUGUUCUACCAGCACCAUCACUUUGAAGACCUUAAUUCAAAUUUCUAUAAUAAAUGAAAAGAGUCAAGAUUCAGUGUUUUAUAACCAGUUCCUCAGUGUAAGUGUGCUGUGUGACUUCAAGUUGAAUACAAGUUACCACACCUGCUUAACUGUUAAGGCAGAACUCUCGCUGCGAAUUACCCAAAAUACACGAGUGACUGUUUUCAUCACCCACUAGCUCCAGACCCUGUCCGCCGUUUCCCCAGCCCUGUCAGCGGCCACCCGGGUAAGAGACCCCCAAAUCCCGCUGGGACAAGUAACGGGGCAGGCACCGCUCUUCUGUCCCUGCCCGACUGCGGAACCCUCCUGAGCCGCCGACAGCGGGACUUGCCCCGCACCCGGCCGCCUCCUCACCGCGCGUCCCGCGGCCCGAGCAGGGCGGACUGCCCCCCGGCUCUCCCCUCCCCGCCUUACCAGCGACUGCAGGCAGUAGGCGAGCUCCAGCAGGGCGCCGGUGACCCCGCACAGGCCUUCCUCCACGGCGGGCGGGAAGCUCUGCCUGACGCGGCUGCCGGGCAGCUGGCGGUGCGCCGGGCAGGCGGGCAGCGUGAUGCGGGGCCGCUUGGAGCGCGGCUCGGCCAUGGCCGGCGCCGCCAUGGGGCAGCCGCGCCGCCCCGCCGCGCCGCCUGAUAUAGCGCGGGCACCUGCGGCACACCUUGCCGCGCUCGGCGGCGCCGGGCCGCCUCUUCCCCGCCUCCCCGCCGGCCUGCUGGGGCGUGAGGCCGCCCGCCCUCGUCGAGGGACGGGGGGGCCGUGGCGGCCGGGCGGGCGCCGCCAUUCGGUGCGUGGCCGUGGGCAGGCGCGGCGGGGACGUGGGCGCUUCCUGUGCCCGCGGAGCCUCUUCGCUCGGCGGCGGCCGCCGCAGCCCGGCCUGCGCGAUGGGAGGCCGGCGGUGCACGGGUCGGCGGGGCCGGGCAGCCGCAGCCCACGGAGCGGUGCGGGACCUCGGGCGAGAAGGGCCGAGCGGUGACUCGGUGUUUCCAGUGUGUUUGAGGGCCGGUAGCCAGGGGCGCCCGCGCUGAAAUGUCUCCUGUAAUAGCGAGCGAAGUGCGAACGAGCAGCGUGGCAGAGCCCAGGCCGGCGCGGCUGAGGGUCCCUCGCAGUGGUGGGAAGGAGCGGUCUGUGGAAAAAGGUCCUGGGAACUGAACAGAGUAUCUAGAGAUUGCUUGACUACAGGAGUAAAUUCUUUAUCUUCUUUGGUUUACUGUAAAAAUAUAUUUGUGUCGAGCUGGCCCUAUCUAGGCAGAUUAAACCACCUUCAGUAUUUUAGUGAUUUAUAAUCCUUGGUUUGUACAGUAAUUUAAAAAUACAUGUUUCAGACUUUUUCGACUGGUUUACCAUAUGGAUGGAGCUCUGCAUGUUAUUGCUUGAGCAUUUAUUUGCCUUUAAUAGAUUCAAACCAGUGGAGUGCAAUUAUGAGUAAUCUCUUGAGGGUACUGGUGGAUGAAAGAUUGAACAUGAGCCGGCAAUGUGCGCUGGCAGCCCAGAAAGCCAGUUGUAUCCUGGGCUGCAUCAGAAUGAGCAUGGCCAGCAGGUCAAGGGAGGUGAUUCUGCCCCUCUGCUCUGGUCAGACCCCACCCGGACUACUGCAUCCAGCUCUGGAGCCCUCAGUGCAGGAAAGACAUGGACCAUUGGAGAGGGGCCAGAGGAGGGACAUGAAAAUGAUCAGAGGGCUGGAGCAGCUCUGCUAUGAGGACAGGCUGAGAGAGUUGGGGUUGUUCAGCCUGGAGGAGAGAAGGCUCCAGGGAGACCUUAUUGUGGCCUUUCAGUACUUAAAAGGGGCCUACAAGAAAGAUGAGGACAGACUUUUUAGUAGGGCCUGUAGUGAUAGGCCAAGGAGUAAUGAUUUUAAACUAAAGGACGGGAGAUUCAGGCUGGACAUGAGGAAGAAAUUUUUUACAAUGAGGGUGAUGAAACACCGGCACUUUGCCCAGAGAGGUGGUGGAUGCCCCAUCCCUGGAGACAUUCAAGGCCAGGCUGGACGGGGCUCAGAGCAACCUGAUCUAGUUGGAGAUGCCCCUGCUUAUUGCAGGGGAUUUGGGCUACAUGACCUUUGAAGGUCCCUUCCAACCCAAACUAUUCUGUGAUUCUCUGAUUCAACACCCUUGGCAUUUGAUAAUUUUCUGUUCAGUGACUUUCUGUUUAAUACCCUUAAUGUUACGUGCCGUUCUGUGGAAUAUUUUUCUAGCAGAUCACCCCACUCUCUGACAAACCCAGGAUGCUAUUGGCAGAAUCAUUAUUCCAUUGCACAGUUUAAUUGUUAUUGGAUCUGACUACCUAGAGCCGAGCACACCUCAUCUGAGAGCAGCCACGUAAAGGUGUGAGAAAAUUGCUCAUGAGACACUUAUGUACUUCUAGUUCGGUGCCUCCAUCUCUUAUGCUUUGUUUACUGUAAUUGUCCAUUUUUCCAUUCUCCUGAUUCUUCAUGCUGUGGUUAAAUUAGAAGUUUCAGCAAAUAAAGUGCAGAACAGUGUGCUAAGUACCCAUGUAAAAAGUAAGCAUAUGCUUAUUUUAAGUGUUUGAGUAAAACUGCGUGUGAGUAAAGUAUGCCUGUAAUGUUUGCAAAGCUAAAGUCAGUACUUAAAUUCAUAAGUUACAAAAUAUUAAUUUCCAAGACAGUUCCACAAUACAUGACCUUGUUCUGAAUUUCUCAGUAAGGUGCCCCUUUUUCACUGGGCACUAAGAACUUUUGCUGGAAGACUUGCAUCUGACAGUUGCCUUUUAGCUUCUUACUUUCCAACUGUCUUCAUUUUAGCCAGUAAAAUAGUUGCCAAUGUUUUAUUAUUCCAGAGUAAUCCUUUGAGUGCCUCAGAAGAGGAAGAACAAGUGUGGUGUCUGCCUGUGUGUAUGCCUUGACAUCCUAAUCUAAAUGAAAUACUUGAUGACCUCCUUUCUGUGGACAGUCCAAAUAAUGUGAAGUGUGAAAAUGCAAUAUAAAGGAAGUUAACUAGUGUUUCUGUGGAAAAGUUUAUAGUUGUAUUUUGUUAGGUGGGUGUUCAUGACAAUAAUUUCUGAGCAUAUCAGCACAUAGAUACUUGUAUCUGUAUUAGUGGACUUCUGGUCCCUUGGAAGUCAGCAUCAGGUUGUCCCAUUUCAGUGAUGGAGAAGUAAGACACAAAGACAUUUCUUAAGGCCACCUGUGGUGUAUGGGUCUGAUCUGAAAACUGACUCUAAAUUUCCUUAAUCUCUGUAUGUUCUUUAAUCCCUCUUUUUUGUGAGAACACUUUUCGAUUUAUUUGGCUUUGUGUUUCAUAGAACUAAAGGAAAUAUACGUCAUUUGCACUGCAAGCAAACGUAAUGUAGAAAAAUUCCAUUAUGAAGUAAUGUUUGGAUUCUUGCUACAUAGGAUGUGUAUGUCACAUAUGUCACAUAUGUCACAUACUGGUCAUAUCUGGACUGAGGAAACUGCCAUCUGUUCCCAAAAACUUGUGAUCUCAAAUCUCAGUUUUCAAGAAAUGCUGUGUCCUGGGGAACAAGCUCUUUGUUCAGUUUCUUAGUUACAACAUUUCAACAUGACAUGGAGCAAGUGCAGCUGCCUGCUCUCAGAGUUGCUUUUAAGAUAGGUUGCUUUUUCGCAUCUGCCCUAAGCUAAGUCUUGUGUCUCUCCCAAACUGUAUACCUUAGAAAAGUUGUUACUCUCUUGGGGUAACAGUAUCUGUAUAUGGUUUUGAUACAAGUCAAUCAGGGUUAGAUCCUAUUCUCACUGAAUCCUCAAGUAUGAAGGUACUUUACAGAUUUCCUCAAUGAAUUGAUGUUGGGGUGAAGAGGGUUGAGCCCUGAGUGAUCUUGACUGAGGGGACGCAAGAGCACAUAGUUAUGUGCAAGUCAUUGCAAGAAGGGUUGGUGACAUCUGUAAAUAGGGUUGGUGACAGGAUGACCCUGUUUAUUCCCAUAAUUUAGGAUUAUUUAAAUGCAUAAUGUUAAUCACAUGCCUUGAAAAGGUACAUCUGUAUUAAUUUUUAUGAUUUGUCAUGUUUUUGAUCCAACACAAAGAGUGUUGAAAGUGGUAUGGCAGAGUGGGAAGCCAAAUAACCACCGUGCGUUAUACGGAACUGCAGUUAAAAUUCCAGCAGAAUAAGAUCUCUUACACACCCACCCUCACACACACACACACUUGCCCUCCUUUCAUUUAUUGUUUGGCAGAGUGCAGCAGAGGGACGAUAAUUGUCAAUGGCUUUAGCAAUCAUCUGAAAAUACGCUUUCUGCUGAGACUACUUUGCAAACAUUUAGUUGUAUCUCGCCAUUUUCUACCUUGAAUCUCUCUCAUUUACAUCUAGGCUCUUUCAGCUGUACUUCUUAAACUGGAGUUGAUAUUGUUUGCUAUUUAACUGCAGGUAGGAAGAGUUGUGGCUGUUGCUUCUCUCCAGCCACCAUCUGUUAGCUGCUUUCUAGAUGUGACAGAUUUUUCACGUGCUUUGCAAAUAGUGUAUCUAAUGCUGCCAAACUUUGUUCUUAUGUGAUCAUUCAGUGCCCAUCAAUAGCUAUGACGAAAAUGGAGGGCUAUGUGAGGAUAAGGUAAUAAAUAAGUAAAUAAAUAAAUGUAUUAUAUGUAUGCCUAUGAAUUAGCCUUCUUCAUUUAUGAUUUUGUUUCAUAAUUAAGUGAAACCUAAGCUCUGUGGCAGGAAAUGGAGAAUGAUUCAUGUGAACACCCAUGAAUUCACAAUUGUUUGUAUUGGACUUGAAGUCACUUAACCCAUUUAUCUGUGUGCUUUUCUGUUCUCAACAGGUGCUUCAUUUCACUAUUUUAUCUAGUCCUACUUGGUUUUAUUUCCUUUAUCCAUGGUGGAAAAGCAGCAAGACUUCUGAGUUGCUUUGUUGCCUUUUUGCACUGUAUGACUCAUACAGUUAAAAAAGCAUCCUGAAAUUUGGGAGAUUACUACUUAAGCAUAUUUUAAACUGUCUUACAGUAAAAGUAGUCAUCAGCAAAACAUGAGGUGGCCCUGGGGUGACAACAGCACUGUGACUGGGCUGUGAGGUGGACAUUCUGGAAAAUGGUUCAUGUCUGUAUGUCACUGAGAAAAUGGAAAGGUCCACUUUGUUGUAGUGCUGUGAAAUCAGCAUGUUUUAGCAGUACAAGACAAGGAUUUCCCAAAAGUAAGAGCCUAGUCCCUUUGAAGUCUGAGUCUUGAACUCUGGUUGGUAUCAAACAGAGCAGCCAAGAGCCUGUUUUGGGGGCUUAUAGGUGCUAAGAAGUACCAUGCAGUGCCAUAUCUACAUUUAUUUUAUAUAUAUCUUCAGUUAACUAAAAUGAGGUUUCACAAUGAAAUCUGUUGGCAAAAUACUUGGAUUAGUUGUGAUUUUGGAAGUAAUUUUUGAAGUGCUUUUUUUGACACUUGCCUCAAAUACUCUAAAGUUUAGUUUCCCAUUGCUUUCCUUUUCUAGAGAGGCAAAGAUUUUCUUCUGCUCAUUGAUAUUUUUGUAUUUACAAAACAUCGAUUACUACAGUGUUUAAAGCCAGCUGAGAUGUCUGAGGUUGUUCUUCAGUUGUACGGGAAACAAAUCUAUCUUUUUUGCCUUCAGUUUUCCCCGUUUGCACCAGGAGCCUGAUAAAGUUGUGACACUUUGCGCCUCUGAUGUAACUUUCAUCUCAGGUUCAGUUCCAUGGGUUUCCUUGACACAAGUCUGCAUGGCACAGAUAUUGAGAAGUUGGCUCAUUUUUCUUUCUUUGCAAUGAAUUUCUUUCACAAUGUAUUUCUUUCUUAAGGAACUUUACAAAUGCUGGGUAAUAUAACCCAGUGUGAUAUAUAGAGAGUCCUUUGAAACUUUACUGAUGGAACCUGUCCUUCAAGCAGAAUAUGCCCACCAUGCCACGUCUAAAACAAACAUAGAACACAAGCUCAUAAGAGUUUCUGAAAUACAAGCAAAGCUUAUCUGUAAGAGAAUGCUGAGAGGGGAUCUCAUCAAUGUUUGUAAGUAUCUCAAGGGUGCGUGUCAAGAGGAUGGGACCAGGCUCCUUUCAGUGGUGCCCAGUGACAGGAUGAGGGUCAACGGGCACAGGCUGAAGCACAGGAGGUUCCAUCUGUAUAUGAGGAGAAACUUCUUUACUUUGAGGGUGAGCUCUGGAACAGGCUGCCCAGAGAAGUUGUGGAGUCUCCCUCUCUGGAGACAUUCAAGACCCACGUGAACACAUUCCUGUGCAAUCUACUCCAGGUAAACCUGCCUUAGCAGGUGGGUUGGACUAGAUGAUCUUGAGGUCCCUUCCAACCCCAGCCCCAAGCAUUCUGUGAUUCUGUAGUUUUGUGUCACAGAACAGGUACAGAGGGGUUUCUUAAUUCAGGCUAUUCAGGCAGUGCUUAAAUUAGAUUAUUUGUAAUUAAUGUUUGCUUUUACCAUGGGACCCUUCCAGUAGCAGAGAGUUUGCUUCGGGUAGUGUCAUGAGGACAGGUGGCCUCGGCUCCUUUUUAGCAGGGUGCUGUGGGGCCCAGGUAGCCCAGCACUUUCGGUGAGCCUCCGUGGCUGCUGUGGCUGAUGCGCAGAGCUGCACUGUGACCUGCUCCAGCAGGGGGAUUGGACUAGAUGAUCUUUUGAGGUCCCUUCCAAUCCCAAACAUACUGUGAUACUGUGAUACCUCGGUGUGCGGGGCACAGCCUGCCCACACAGCACCUGCGCUUGCCCCGCACUGGUCCCCAGGCUACCCUCUCCCUCUGCCUCUCCUUCUCCCUCUCUCUGUCAGGCUCUUCCCAGCUGCUGCCACAACCCCAGCGCUCAUACAGACUCCUCCUCUCCCAUUGCUCCCACUUUUCCUUCUGUGCACCCUUGAGAAGGCCCCAUGCCAGCAGUGGGUUUGGGGUCUGUGUGUGCGAGGUCUGCAAUCAAGCCUGGGAGAAGUAGCUGCGUCCCAGCUAGCUGCUUAGAUAGGCUUGUCCUGCCUCAACCUGAUUUGUGUUUGACACCUUUAGCUACCCUGUUGCAUCUCAAGUCAAGCUGCCGUGUUUGAGUGUGUGUGGCAGCGUGCAUGUGCAUAGACUUCUUAAUGCUGGGCCUGCAGGUAAAACUGCACUGUGGCCACUACUAACUUGUGUCUGGGAGCCAUAUAUUGCUGUUUUCUCUUACACACAUAUCACUCGUUCCAAUGCAAUUUUAAAUGUUGAUGAUGCACCUACACUGACUUAUUCUCCCUUAGUCUUUUCUCCUUGUAUUUACAAAAUGAAAUGUGCUGACUAAACUUCCCAGUUCAUCAUUGUGGUUGAGCACCGUGCCUCUGUCAGCGCGGAGGGGGCCGCCGAUUGUCUUGGGCAGAGGGGGCAAAGGGAGCAGGAUCUGGGGGCUGUCUGUGCCCAGCCUCUGCCCACGGGCUGGCGUCCAGGCUGAGCCAGCCUCAGCCUCCUUAGCAGCCUGAUACUUGGCUCUUCAAUCUCUAUUUCUUCUCUUAUAAAUACACUUAAGAUAGAAGUGGACUGUUAAUUUCAAGUGUUACUGGCUGAUACUAUCUGUUUGAUUUUUUGAAAGAGUAUGUUAGGAGUAUGUUAGAUUAAAUUGCCAGGGUUCAUCUGCCUCUGAGAUUUUGUGAUUGUUAUCUCAGUCCACAUUUUUAAAAGCAUAGGGUAGCAAACUUACAGCUCAUCCUUGCAAUCUGUCCAUGGCACAUCAUAAAUCCAGUCACUUACUGCAGGUUAAAGCCACUGAGUCUCAGUACUGGAGCAAAUUUAGGAGGAUUCUGUGGAAUUUCUGAAAACAUGUGGCACACCCCAGGCAACAUGCUGCAUAAGGGUGUUGUGCAAUCCCAAACUGCCUGAAGUCUGUCAUAAUUGGUAUACCUUGCCUUUCUGCUCCACCUUCCUUUCCUUUCCACAGCUGUGAAUAAGAAUCCGUACGCACUUUUGGACAAUUGAGAAAACAAGUCUUGACACGUUGAAAAAGGCAGUGCCUUCUUUUGGGUAGUCUGUGCCAUCUGAAAUCAGUGAGUGCAGGUAAUGCCUGGCAGGCAGCGUAAGCUUUGGUAGGUGUGCUCUGUGCUCGGGGGAGCAUCAUGCUCUUUGAGGUGAGCAUGAGCAGGUGCACUCUGUACAUACUCAGAAGAAUAUGGGCUGGCAGAAGCAAACUACAGGCAGGGGAUGAAGGUCCAGAAACUGUUUAUUGUCUUGCUGCUAUGUGCUGCUGACAAUCAAUGUUCAGAGUCCUUGCGCGUACCAAGAGCACCUGCUUCUGAAGUACAGAAUGGGAUUGUCCUUGUUCCGGUUGAUGCAAGUACCUAAUUUAGACUGUGAGACUCGAGCAGGACAGAGGGACACAUCUUGUCAAGAAAUGCAAGUGGUAUGAAACUGGAUCGUCUUUCUUCAUCUCCUCACUGCCUUCCCAGGAUUUGAAAGUGUGACAAAGUACUUCAUCUGUUUACAAGAUUAGAUGAAAAACUACUCCUGCUGGUACAGGCACCUGCGAUUUCUGUCCCAGUGUAGCUCUUCCAUCAGAUGGAGUUGCCCAUACAAAUAGUUUUCAGUCAGUUGCCUUAUCUUCAGUGCACCAUCCUGGGCUGAACUACCUGGAGCAGCAGGCCAAGUGGAGUGGUUAUUCCCCUGUGCACAGCAUCGUGAGAGGUGGCAUCUGAACCAUUGUGUCCAGUUUUGGUCUCUCCUGUACAAGAAAGUCAUUGUCAUACUGGAACGGGCCACCAAGGUGCACCUGAACCUUCUCCACCUGGAAACCAGUCUGAGGCAGUUCUCUGACCUGGGAUAUCUCAGUCAGUUCUAAGUCUGGGACUAUAACUGUGAAGGAAAACAGACCAGGGAACAGAAGUUUGGUGGAGUGCUCUUCGCAGAGCGUUAUAGGUGACAGGCAGAGAGAAGGACUACAGCUGAGUGGGCUGGAUGGAUGUGCCUUCUCCUCAGCUCUACGACUAGGGGUGAUGUGCUUUGCUUUUGCUGCUUGUCCAUCCUGCCAGUGUAAGAAGAAAACUUGUAUCAAAGAAAGCUGAUUGAAGAGAUCUCUCAUGUUUGGACAUCAAAAAACCAUUUGACAUCACAACACAGGAGAAACAUUACUCAAAAGAAGAUUAAAUAUUACCAGAGAAACUAUAAAUUACAUUACAUGAUCCAAGACAAAAUUGAAAUGAGUGGUUUUGAGAAGUGAACUAUAAGACUGGAGAAAAAUUUCUAGCAGAAACUGUCAAGAACAGCUAUGGGACAGAUCUUUAAGUAUUUUCAUUCACUAUCUUGAGACAAAACCCACCAAAAUCUUUCAAUGAAUUACACUGAAAAGCAUUGCCAGCAGAAAGGAAUUUGGGGGCUGCUGUGUACAAGGAACUGGCUAAACUUAAGAAUAUGCAAGUAAGGGUGCCCUUUCCAUAGUUAAUGCACAAUAUUAAUGCACAAGAUUAAUUGCAAGAGUUUAUUUUUACAGUUUUAUAGCUCAUUAAAAGCUGCAAAGGCUUGAGAAUCAGUUGUGUGCCUGAGCUGGUCCUGCAAUGACUGUCAGCAUCAACAUGAUGCACUUACGUAACAGUGAACGCGAUCUUACAGGAGACAUCCUUGGCAGACACGGGAAGUAUUCAUACUGCUAUGCAAGUGAUGACUUGCAUAACAGUAUUCUUUUUUUUUAAGAAAUAAACUUUUAAAAAUAAAUAUAACUCGCAUAACAGUAUCUUCUUCAGUGUAUGUGGUAUGGUUCAACUCAGUAUUGAAGAAAGACAAAUUUCAUCUGGAAUAUGUGCAGCGAAGGGUCACAAAAAGCAUCCUGAGCCAGAGCUGGCCUCAUUUUGUAUCACAUGUACCUUUUCCAGGGCUUGAAUUCUUCUCUCUUUGCCCUUCUAAAUGCUACUUCUGCAGUUACCUACGUGAAGAGCUUCUUUCAGGUUUAAGAAAGUUGGGAUGGAAGGCUGUGGGUUUUGUUUGGUUUUGUUUGGGUUUUAAGUUAAAUAUUACUAAUGUUGAUUUUUCUUGCCUUUUCACUCCUUACAGAAAUCUGAAUUUGUACACAUUACAUCUCACACUUUGCCAGCCUACUGAGCUCAGAGGAUUGAUGGCUCCUCUUAGGAGCUGGGUGGUCAAAUAGGAGGAGAAGGUUGCACUGCCACUGCAAUCAGUGUCUGGAGUGGUUUCUCAGUGAGAAACACAUGAGCAAGACUCAAGGGUCUAAGGGUGGGCUUGGUAAGGUUAGGAGAGGGUCUGCCCCACAUUUCCCAUGGCAGAGGGCUGUACAGGACAGGAACAGGAAUCCCAGUUUUCCAUGCGCUACUCACAUGGCAUCCUCUGAGCAUUGCAAUCCAGGCACAAUCAUCACUGUCUGCCCAGCAAGUCUGUACUGUGUCACCUGCUUUCAAAUGAAGUGUCACCCUGGUCCUGCCCAAUUUGGUAAUGCAAAAAAAUGUUCCAUUUUCAUUGUCCAAGCUGCCUCUACUAAUUACAUUUUUAUAUCUUAUUCAGCACGCCUAAUUACAAUGAAGAAAUCCUUUUUAACAAAAACACACUGCAAGUGUUGGACUCAGCUGCACGAUCACCCAGCACCUCUCUGCAUCCAUUGUCCAUCAUCUCCACUGUGGUGCAGGCUGGUCCAGACCAGCUCCCACUGGGAAACACCAGUCCUGAAAGCUGCUGUGUGGGACAUGGGUGUGGGAGCCUGCGGGAAAUUCCCCUGGGCUCCUGAAGAGCUUCUCCCGUCCCAUGGAUCUUCUCUAGCAGAGUGCAGGAGCUAAUAAUAUCGCUCUGCUUCUGUUAUAUAGCAUUUCCUCCUCUUUAUUUUAACUUUUACUGGUUGCAUUACCAGCUGCUCCUUUGCCUCUUGAUCAAGUGUCAAAAGAAACCAUAAAUCAGCUUAUGGUAUUCAUUGAAAGGCAAUAUUGGUGCUUUCUCCCCUUCUGAAGGACUGCAAUUUUAAAUGCAGCUCCUAAAUAUACUUUAAGAUUUUAUUAUUUUAGUUAACAUUGAGAAGAUUUUUUAAAAGACAAUACAAAUCCAGUUUUCCUUGGAGAAGGCACGUACUGAGAUCUCCUCAAGAGAGUCGUAGACACUGAUUGACAUGAGAGGGACAAAGCCAAAAAGCCAGCACAGCUCACAGAUAUGGAAAGCAACCUCCAAUGGGAGUCAAGAAGCCUCAAUACAAGACAACCAUCAGGGAAACAAGGAACCUUGAAACAACUCUUUUUCAAUGUGCUGUAUUAUUAUUUUUUUUAAUGUUUAUUUCUAAUAAAACACAAAGUGUCAAUAUAGUUAUUUAUUACUUUCUAAUAUAAGUGUAGCAAUUGCACAUUAAAACUGGACAAAGUAUGUGAUUAUGAAUAUAUGACAUUUAGUUUAUUCUUAUUGAAUUGGCAAAUAGCUCUUCUCUUGAUAUUAAUAUUAAAAUAUUUUGUCUAGA